GACGAACGCUGGCGGCGUGCUUAACACAUGCAAGUCGAACGGAAAGGCCCUGCUUUUGUGGGGUGCUCGAGUGGCGAACGGGUGAGUAACACGUGAGUAACCUGCCCUUGACUUUGGGAUAACUUCAGGAAACUGGGGCUAAUACCGGAUAGGAGCUCCUGCUGCAUGGUGGGGGUUGGAAAGUUUCGGCGGUUGGGGAUGGACUCGCGGCUUAUCAGCUUGUUGGUCGGGUAGUUGCUUACCAAGGCUUUGACGGGUAGCCGGCCUGAGAGGGUGACCGGCGACAUUGGGACUGAGAUACGGACCAGACUGCUACGGUAGGCAGCAGGGGGGAAUAUUGCACAAUGGGCGGAAGCCUGAUGCAGCAACGCCGCGUGCGGGAUGACGGCCUUCUGGUUGUAAACCGCUUUCGCCUGUGACGAAGCGUGAGUGACGGUAAUGAGUAAAGAAGCACCGGCUAACUACGUG
rnacentral:rRNA from 1 species